rnacentral:piRNA from 1 species
UACAGGCUGUGGGGUUAAUACAAGU